rnacentral:rRNA from 1 species
AUUGAACGCUGGCGGCAGGCCUAACACAUGCAAGUCGAGCGGAUGAAGGGAGCUUGCUCCUGGAUUCAGCGGCGGACGGGUGAGUAAUGCCUAGGAAUCUGCCUGGUAGUGGGGGAUAACGUCCGGAAACGGGCGCUAAUACCGCAUACGUCCUGAGGGAGAAAGUGGGGGAUCUUCGGACCUCACGCUAUCAGAUGAGCCUAGGUCGGAUUAGCUAGUUGGUGGGGUAAAGGCCUACCAAGGCGACGAUCCGUAACUGGUCUGAGAGGAUGAUCAGUCACACUGGAGCUGAGACACGGUCCAGACUACUACGGGAGGCAGCAGUGGGGAAUGUUGGACAAUGGGCGGAAACCUGGUCCAGCCAUGCCGCGUGUGUGAAGAAGGUCUUCGGAUUGUAAAGCACUUUAAGUUGGGAGAAAGGGCAGUAAGUUAAUACCUUGCUGUUUUGACGUUACCAACAGAAUAAGCACCGGCUAACUUCGUG